UCUACUUUAAAACUUGUAAAAAUAGGUUAUUUCUGAAUCGAUGAUAUGAGAUAUCUUUGCUUUUUUUCCUGGAUUAGAGAGAUUAAAUAUAAACUGAAGAGAAUAAACUAUGUAUGUCACGUCAAGCUAGAGGGACUGUAAGCGUAAUUUUAAGUUAGAUUGAGUGGGUUGACCUUGAAAGAGUAACUACAGUUUCCAGGCAAAGCUGGGUUCGGAAGCUUGUGAUAUAUAAAAGAGGAAAUUGAAAUGGAAAUUAUGAAG